CAGAUAUGCCAAAGAGAAGCUGUAAAAUGCUUCCUUUAGGUGAAAAGUCAGCUUUCAUGUCCUGAAGUAGCCCUUUGGAGGAUUCCACAUGAGUGAGCUUGGAAUCAGAUCUUCUGAACUCUGCCAACAGCUAUAUAAUGAAGCUUUUUUGGGAAAGAAAGAAGAAAGAAAGGAAAGAAGGAAGGAGGGAAGAAACAAGGAAGAAAGAGACAAAUUGGGGGACACAUAUUACUUUUCCAAUGGGUUAAAAAAAGUUAAAAAAUGAGUUAAUUCACUGGUUGGAAUCUAUGUAGCAUGUUAUUGUGCUUUUACAUAUAUUACAAUUAUCGUAUCAUAAGUGGCCCUAUAGACAGCUGUUAAUGAGGGAGAGAGAGACACUGAGAGUGGUUGGAUGGAGCGUUUAGGAGAACUAGAAAACCACUAGAGAAGAUGUUUAGCUUGAUGAGAGGCAUCUUUUAACUGUCAAGCAAGGAGGUCAGACC